rnacentral:lncRNA from 1 species
CAGUUACUGCCACCCUCUCCCAGGUCUAGAGAGGGGUACCCACGGUGGAGGGAGGUGGGAGGCCGAGACGGCCCCGGGGGUCGGCGGAGACCCAGCGGGAGCAGGGGGAAAUCGGAAGAGCUGGGGGCAUGGAGCGGGCGAGUUUGGAGCGGAAUGAGCCGGGAGCCCUACGUUGUGGAAGGAAGACAACAGUAUAGGACCAUCAGCAGGACCGGACAGAGAGGGACCAGGCUGGCCUUGAACUCAGAAAUCCGCCUGCCUCUGACUCCCGAGUGCUGAGAUUAAAGGUGUGCACCACCACACCCGACAAGGAAGCCUGUUUUAAGAAGUGAUUCCAUGGAGGAGUUCUGCGGCGGCUCAGGGCUUGACUAAACAGUGGACCUCAGACAAGAGAGGCUAAACCAGGCUGCAGGUGACAGGAAGAAUUGAAUAAACUGAAAGCAAAGGGCAGCCUUCUAAUUACGCUUCGUGGCUAUGUGGACAACCUGGAGAAGUCUGGAAACCUUUCCUCCUCCAUUUUACUACUUGAGGGAGCAGUGGGUGGGAUACUAGGCAAGUAGCUGCAAUGGCUGGUGCUUUAUGGUUCCCUGGCAUCCCCUGAAUCUGUUAACAUCCCAACCUUCUUGACAGCCAGCCCCACCCCAUCACAUUCUUACUCCUUCCCUUUCCAAGAAAGAAGCCAGAAGCCCGAAGCCAGCAGUAGAGCUCUGACUGGCUUGUAUGCCUAGAAAGGAAGGGCUCUUCUUUCGCCUCACGGGCACAAAUGGGACCCACGAGCGCCGAUUUCAGACUAUUCUGAUCCCUUCAAAAAGAAAGUUAGGAGUCCAGGCUACUGUGAGUGAAUUUGAUUCUAAUUGUUUCAGAGAAUAUGGAAUAAAAUAUCUCAUUUGCAGUUGUUUA